rnacentral:rRNA from 1 species
CACGUAGGGUGCGAGCGUUGUCUGGAAUUAUUGGGCGUAAAGAGCUCGUAGGCGGUUUGUCGCGUCUGCCGUGAAAGUCCGGGGCUCAACUCCGGAUCUGCGGUGGGUACGGGCAGACUAGAGUGUUGCAGGGGAGACUGGAAUUCCUGGUGUAGCGGUGAAAUGCGUAGAUAUCGGGAGGAACACCAGUGGCGAAGGCGACUUCCUGGCCUGUUCUUGACGCUGAGGCGCGAAAGCUAGGGUAGCAAACGGG